AAAAAGAGGAGCCAAAAAUGAGAAAGAGAAGGAGAGGAGCCGAUCGGGUGAGAGAGGAGGUCGAGAUUGAGGAAGAUUCGGGCCGAGAAUGAGAAGGGAACGUCACACAAGGGAGAGACGAGCAAGGAAACGUGGCCGAAGAAGAGAAGACGAGGUAUUGCAGAGGUAGAAAGCUGAAAGGAAGGGAAGGAAAGGGAAUCGGGCUGAGAAACACCGUGUCGACUGCAGAAUCCGAAGCCGAGUUGCAUGCGAUGCCAGUAUACGAAAAAUUUUUAAGUUUCUUCAUUUCCAUCUUUAUUUUUCGAGAAUCCAAUUUUCUAUUUCAUACUACCCGGCAUGUAGAUGUGAAAUCCAUCAUCCAAACUUUGAAGCAAGCAAGGAGUAUUCGCAGGGAACCAAAAAGACCAUCAUCGGAGUCGAAUCCGAGGCUGUUUGGGUUUUCGGAGCACCGUACCCUAGCCAAGUGCGUUCAUUUUCCUCUUUCGGUGUCUAUUUUUGACGAGAUGGGUAUUCAUGUAUGUGUGUGUGCGCAAGUUCGGGAGGUAAAGCGUUCGCCUCGCCAUAGUGAGUGUGAGAGUCCUCUCAGGAAGACCGGAAAUUAUCUCCGGUGGUGUGAAUCAGAAAUAAAUAAAACUGUUGGCCUUCAUAGCACCAAACCAAAUCAAGUGACCUUUCGUUUCCUUUUUCGUUAUGGAGUUUUGGGUGAUGUCAGAUGCUAAUACGUAUGUAUCUGUAUACAUAUAAGUAUAGGUUUUAGAAAGUAAAUCGCCAUACCUAUGCAGGAAGCUGAAAUGGUGGUUCGUCGAAUACUGAAACGGCAUUCGUUGUGGUAAUUACCUGAAACGGCAUUCGUUGUGGUAAUUACCUGAAACGGCCACUAUUAGUAGUUUUCCUAGGGUUUAAUUUAUUUUCACCACUUAAAUCUGAUUAUACUUAUGUAUGGUGAGUUUAGAUUGCUGAUCAAGUGGAGUACAAUCUGUUGAGGGACUUUAGUGAGUAUUUCCUUAUUCCAAACAUGGAUUGGGAUUUUAAAGAUUUAUGCAUAGGUAUUCUUAAAAUUGUGUGUGUUUUAAUAUAGAACAGAUAUUGACCUGACUUUUUGAUGAAGAACAAAACAUGGACGUAUGACGAGUGAACUCUAACUUGUUGGAAAUUAUGAGGAAAUGGAAAACCUGAUAAAAAUGAAGAACUGAUGAAUGUUUGAAAUUGUGAAAAGAAAUAAAAUUAUAAUUGAAAAAAAAAACCACCAACAAAGCGAAAGGUUGAAAAAAAAAAUAACAUAAGAAAUUAAAUAAAAGUAAAGAUGAAUUAAUUAUGGUUGCGAAACAAAUAAACUUAAAUAAUACUUAAAAGAAAAAUAAAAAAAAUGGGAGUGAAUAAGAAAUUGGAAAAGAAGAUGAUGCGAGUGAAUAGUGCAUGGAUACUGAAGACUUUCUUGUUUAGUCUGAACCGAAGAGGGGUGCAUGUGUGUGUGGUUGAAAUUCAGCGGGGAUGGUGAACCUGCAUAUGGAUAGAGUUUGAAACCUAAUCCAGACAUGAAUAGGUGUUUGUAAGUGUGGGUCACUUAGCAAACGUAACUGUUGUGGCCAAUGUGAAAUUUUGUGUGUGUGCUAUCCAUGCGGGAGGAUCCAUUUCACCUCUCCUUGAUGACGAUAUAAAAGACAUCGCGAGAUGAAACUUUAG
rnacentral:lncRNA from 1 species